GGAAUAUUGGUCAAUGGGCGCAAGCCUGAACCAGCCAUGCCGCGUGCAGGAAGAAUGCCCUAUGGGUUGUAAACUUCUUUUAUAUGGGACGAAAAAAGGGAAUUCUUUCUCACUUGACGGUACCAUAGGAAUAAGCACCGGCUAACUCCGUGCCAGCAGCCGCGGUAAUACGGAGGGUGCAAGCGUUAUCCGGAUUCACUGGGUUUAAAGGGUGCGUAGGUGGGUAGGUAAGUCAGUGGUGAAAUCUCCGAGCUUAACUCGGAAACUGCCAUUGAUACUAUUUAUCUUGAAUUUUUUGGAGGUGAGCGGAAUAUGUCAUGUAGCGGUGAAAUGCUUAGAUAUGACAUAGAACACCAAUUGCGAAGGCAGCUCACUACGAAAUUAUUGACACUGAGGCACGAAAGCGUGGGGAUCAAACAGGAUUAGAUACCCUGGUAGUCCACGCCCUAAACGAUGGAUACUCGACAUCAGCGAUACACUGUUGGUGUCUGAGCGAAAGCAUUAAGUAUCCCACCUGGGAAGUACGACCGCAAGGUUGAAACUCAAAUGAAUUGACGG
rnacentral:rRNA from 1 species